GGACUGCGUGUGCAGGAUCCCACCUUCUUUGUUCCCAUAUUUUCUUCCCUCCAAUACAAAUAUUUCUCUUCCCCAAGUUGCAAAUCGAAACCUUACAGAACGAUGGUAAACGAAGCAGAUAUUGACAGAGACUAAACGAAGUGAAGGAACCAUCUUCAGCACUGGAGCUUAAUCUGGGCGAAGUUUACACAUCUGGACUCUUUCGCAGUCCUCGCACAUAAUCUUGGCCGUGUAAGUCGUAUCCUCAACAUGCACCAGUCCGUAGGUAGCUGAGUGGAUGGAGCAGCUUGGUGGCUGAGGUCACUGAGGGAGAGAGCACUCACAUCGGGGUAAGUCAUGGCAGUGCCUGCUUGUCUCUGCUGUCUUCAUGUUGGCUAGCUACUGCUGAAUAGCAACCACUGAAAGAAUGAAGCCUUGCCGGUGUUCAGAAGCCUCCAGCCCACCCAGGCCAGCCUCCUGUUCCCUCAGAUGUCCCUGCCCACCAGGGAACUGCAGAGUCCACUAGAGACUGCUUGCUUCUAGACACCCUGACACACAGCUUGCUCCACUUAUCCUCCAACAGCAGAGCCUCCUGUCCUUCCACUGCCUGAGGGCAGCGGUCUAUGGGACAAAGCAGAUCAUUGUCAUGGAAAGAUCUACAAUGUUGUAUGUUCGAGGUAGGGGCUGCAGAAAGAGGUAGAAAGCUAAACAUAAGAGAACCCCAGAGCAGUUCGUGUUGAAU
ensembl:lncRNA